GGAACGGCGGCGUCUUGAGAAGAGUUGGCAUAGUUGAUCUUGGAGCCCAGGUAGUGAUUAUGUUGGAUUUAGCCGGCUCACUCCCUGCCCCUUCCCCCAAGAGCAUACAUACCCACCGCACAGGUUGAACGUUUGACUCUAGGCAGACUGGUGCAGCCUGGAAGAUUGUGAUGCAAAGCUGUUUAUACUGGCUAUAAACGUGGUCUUCGAAACCAAAAAAAUAGCCUACCCUCUACUGAUGAUUGAUGGUGUUUAUUGCCGUGAUGAAACAGAUCUAUACACUGGCAAAAGAUGUGCCCAUGGUCUACAAAGCAAAGAACAAUGCUGUCCCUCCUGCAGGUACACCAAAUAAAACUCAUGUCAUUUGAGGUAAAGUGGCUCCUUCUCAUGGUAACAGUGGCACAUUCCAUGCCAAGUUCAGAAGGCUAUUGGGCAAAGGAUUCAUAUGGUGCUGGACUCGUUGAAAAUGUAAAGCAAACCUGUACAUGAAUUGCAAAUAAAUGGUAAAAUGGUCUAAA